CGCGCUAUCCACGAUAGCCACUCGUCGCGCGCGGUUUUGGCAAUCUAGGAGAAAAACCGGGCGUGGACUGGGCGAGCGAUGAAAAAAAAUCCCUCACGGAGGAUUACCUCAGCCGGCCAAUGUUUUUCCUCCUCUCCACACGCUAUCUCCCUCCCAAACCCUAUUUUUCUCCCAGCUUGCUCUCCCUAGCGGCGGCGGCGGCGGCGAGGCUGAUGGCGGAGGGGAACGACGAUGGAUGUGAGGAACGGGGAGAAGCGGCGGCGGGGAAUGGGCGGGCUCUCCUCUGUUGUCAUGUUUUCUCUCCUCUCUCCUGUGCGGCGGCGGGCAACGGCGAACACUGUUGUCUUGAACAUGCGCGUUCACCUAUUCAAUCUCGCCGGCUCUCAUGUCUCUGUUCUAAUUACCCCUCUCUAUAUUCUCUGAAGGGGCAUGGGAUGGUGAUAGAGAACUGAGCCGACGACCGUGAAGAAGCCCAGCAGCAACUUCUUCAAGUUUACUGAUUUCCCCACUAAAAAAUCAGAGGUCGUGUGGCGAUGAUGGCCGUCAAGAAGGAGAUGCAGGACGAUUAAAACAUCCUGGACAUAUCUCCUGUUGGAUAAACAUUUGUUCUAUGCAACGGUUUACCUUGACCGACGAGGUGUACACGCAGCUCUGGCUGCUGGUCGACAACUAGGAAGCGAAGAGGCGGAUGCAGGACAGGAAGAAGAGGACUCAUGCGACGCUGACGGAGAUGAUGCCGAGGAUUGCUCGGAUACCACACAUGUUAUGCAAGAGGCUCACUCAGACACCACACAUGUUCUGCAAGAGGCUCACGGCUUCACACACCAGCACGCAUGGGGGCUUCUCCAUGCCGCAGAAGACUGGGUUACAGCUCGCGGAGGCCAUGAGAAGCUAUUGCUGGCCUUGUGAAAUUGGAGCCAAGAUUCUGCAGUAAAUCCUUUUCGAGCACUGAUUUUUUUUUGGCUUCCACCCCACAUUCCUUACUUGAUUAAUAGGAUAUGCGACACGGUUGAAAUUGUAAGAUAUUUAGAUGUGACUCUAAUAGUCUUCAUCUUUUGUAAACUACACUUUCUAAUGAGGGAGCCCAAGGUGUGCCAAAUUGUAUGCAAACUAGCUGUUUACGAGAAAGAUGCAAAGAUGCUCAAUUAAAAGAGUGAGGGUGGCUAGCUCGUGAACAUCUGAAUGGUAAGAUGGAGGAGUACCGUGCAUGCCUGGGUUGUGGGAAACACUCUCCGACAUCCAGAUUGAGAUGUAGGCAUUCUCUGUGGUGAGGGAAACAACAAGGAGGGCACUUUGAUGUUCAGGGUAUACCAGAUUUGCUUUGUUAUGGUGGGGAUGUGAUGCUGCACCAUGCUGAAUACUGCCCCUCCUUACAACUUAGAAAAAGGUUUGUUGGUCAUUUUGCAAUUUACAAAAUCUGUAUUAGCUUCCACUUGCUUGUAUAAAUUUGACUGUUACUACCUUCUAUCCGUUUUAAUCGGCGCAAAUACCACGCACUACAUGCUCGCGAUCUUCACAACUCCGCAUCGAUUUCGUUGGAUCGGAGGGAGUAGUUUUGCAGUAUGCUUCAGUUUUUAUAGUAUGCGGAUACCACCUAAAAUAUGUAUCUUUUUGUUUUGUGUAUUCAGGCUUAACAAUAUUUAGUACCAUGAUUAAUACUAUUUCCUGUCUUUUCAAGUUUUGUGUGUUCAUGCUUAGUAAUAUUCAGUAACAUGAGGCAUUAUUCACCCAGUCUACAUGCCAAAAAAUUACUGGUCUGUUAGAUGACAUGCUUCGUAAUAGUAGAACAACCGUUGUGUGCAAUCCAUGUUUAACCAAGGCAUGUCUAGGUGAUAGGCAACAACAAAUUGCCUACCGCUUUCAUACGUUGUCAACUUACUUUUUCUUAGAGAAUGGUAGCUGCGGUACUUUAGUGUUCAAGUAGUAAGGGAAAUAAAUUGGCUGGCAAUUUUCCUUUUCUUUUCCCCCUCCAUUCUCCAUGUUACACACAUUAGGGCAUACUUCAGUGCCGGACUCCUGGAUUUCAAAUAUAACACACUUGAUACUCUUCAUCUUCUGUAAUAAAUAACAGAUCUCUGUUCUAAAAGAAUGCCUGGCUAUUGGUUUUUGGUAGUUCACCUUACAAUACUGGAAGCCAAUUCCUGCAACUAACUUGAACAAUUUGGCCAAGGUACAAAUCUGUCAUAUUCGAUUGACAUGGUCUAUUUAUUGAGACCUGAACAUGAACAAUAGAAAUGGAAGUUGCAACAUAGUCAUCUACCGACCCGGUCUAUUUAUUCAAGCAUGAAUAGGUCUAGAAGAAACAGAAGUUCACUUGCAAGUACUCGCAAAUACAUUACUCUUCGUCAUGUCCCAUUUCUUCGUGCCUAAUUAGACCCAAGCCUUCCUCCCUGCAGUAAGUACACCCUUUCAGAUUAUCCAGAAAGAUUGAACAGUGGAAAGCUACAAGAAAACCAGUCAAAUAGUACAACAUUGUUUAACUGUACAUUACCCAAAGGCUCAGAAUCCAUACAUCAUAUGUAACUUCAGAAACUAUUGGCAUUAAAAUCACAGGGAAUAGAAGCACUAAGCAGGAAGGGUGCGUGAUAUAUUUACCACAUAGGCUGAGAGCACAUACAAUACAUCAUAUAUUCAGAAAUUUAAGGAACACAUAAAGCUUCAAAAAUUUAGGGAUGUAUAAAUUACAGGAUAUAGAGGCACGAAGCAGGAACAUUAAAACUUCUUUACAUGGGAUUUACCUCGUGAAUGAGUAUAACCGGGCCAUGUGAUAGAGGGGAUAAAUUAUAAAAGUCACCAAACUGGAAGCUAAUUCCUGAUCGAUGGCCUCCUUCGGUUGGGUACAACGAUGUGAGCAGAGGCGAUGUGAUGGGAGCCGAUAAUUCACCAAACUGGAUACAAGGCUUGGUACAACGAUGUGAGCAUAGGCGCAUGUACAUCAGUACAUGGGCUGCAGGACAAUGGAAACCAGCGGAGGUAUUUAAAGACGAAGACUGCUGAUCGUUGGCCUCCUUCGGUUUCUUCUACAGUUUAUGUAUGAGUAUUAAAACGGAUGACUGCUGGGAUGCCCUCAUCUAUCUCACAUAUAUUUAUGGUUGGGUGACCAAGGGUCGCGAGCUGGUAGAUGAAGAGAUGGCGGAGAACAUGAGGAGCGGCCAAGAUGAGGAAGCGAUGUGCGGUGCUGGAUGAUAUGGUAUUGAAAUGUAAGUUGGGCUUGGGCUAUGUGAUAUUCCUAUACAGCCCAUGUAAAAUGAACCGAUCGAGGGGGCGGAACUUGCGUGUGGGGUCUGUCAGACUGGUUUCGUCGCUUGACCGCAUGAACAGGCUGUAUAACUUACGGAAUGACGUGGACGCACAGAAUUGCAGGGAAAUAGGGUAGUGGGGGGUUGCUAUUUAGAGAUAGAAGUUUGUGUUGUGCUGAUAAUAUUUUAUUAGUCAUUAUGGAGGUAGCGUGAAGAACGAUUGUCUGUGCUCACCUGGAAUUGUAGCAUUGUUCUCAACAUGUGUCAUAGGGACUGUGUCCCAUUACCUUCUUUGCACCCAGUUGCAACAAAAGAAACGUAUCUGCUACGACUUUCUACCGGUUGACCAAUGAUCUGGAUGAGAAACACUAUUAUCCCUAUCUCAUUCAUUCGUAUGAAUCAAGAGAAUCCCAUCUCUGGAUUAUAUCUGACUUAGUAUCACUACUAGAAAUGGAGGCAACAAGGGCAUGUUUCUAAAGUGGUUCAGGCAAGCAACAGAUAAACAUUUGUUAUCAAGGUAACCUUUUUUUGGAUGGUUAAUGGCGACUUGUUAAUUGCUAUUUAAAGUACUGGAUUUGUGCAUUGGUUUGUGUGUUUCUCAAAUUUUGUAGUAGUUACAUGGUUAAACUAUUCUAAGUGAUGUAUCACAUUUAAUGCGAUAAUAAGUUUUCAGGAUCUUAGUCUAAGCACGUCUGCGAUAUGACAUUAACAUCUGAUGGGUUUUCAGGUCCAUUUGGCUUAUUUUGCUUUGGUAAGGGCUUCCAUUGUUAUUACCUCGAUGGUUAUUGUCAAGCUUUUAUUUUUGUUUAUAUCAGUUUCUUUAGUUAGUAAUUUAGAUGUUUGUAUACAUAUAUAUAAAUGUGCCGACAAGUUGCAGAAUUUCCAAAAGCAGUUUUAAUCCACGCCUUGAUGGUAAAGUAUCGAUACCGACUUGUGUAGUUUAUGUUGGGUCCAUAACUCAGGUGUACAAACCUGCUCUUGGCCAUAGAGUUCAUGAACUUUUUUCUUCUGUAGAUUUUGCUUAAUCAAAAUUAAUCCCAUUGUCUUGGAUUUCCUUUUUUGUUUCUUGUGUAUAGGUCACUCAUGUUGAAUUCAGUAAUGGCCAAAGAGAAGUUCUUGCUAAAAAAAAGGUGUACUAGAGGAGCUCUACAUGUGGAACUGUCUACCCCCACUGGGACCUCAAUUUACUCUUGCCCGCAAUUCAGUGUGAUACCCAAGGACUGAGUUGUGUUUGUGUUUGGCGUUAAAAUUUGGACUUCUUACAUGUACAUAUAUAUUACACAUAGUAAGCUAAAAUUCUCGAUCUAGGCUGCAAUGGUGGAUGCAUCCCAUUGCUUUUACCUAUUUCUUUGAUACCACAAUAGCCACAAUUUCAAUAUUGUAACUUUGAUUUAUGAAAUUUUGGAGGUUGCUGACAUUUCUUAAUUUUGGACUUCAAGGGUUUUCAUGGGAUGGUGCAUUGAGAAACAGUUGUCAGCUUGUGUUAUAAUAUGCUAGAAACUGUAUAGUGAAAUGUAGUAGUUAAAACGGCCAGAAUGAGUUUUGAUUUGGAUGCAAGACUGUCUUAGAGGCAUGCAAGGAAAUCUGUAUUCGGGCGUUGAAUUUCUGUCAUUGGACUAGGAUUUGAUCGCACAGCUCUGGCGAGGAGGCGCCCCAUGGGGCGCCCCAACCACUAGUCUAAAGAUAUAAUUGCUGCAACCUCAUCAAGCCUCUAGGUAAAUUAGAUUUGACUGUCCGUAGGAUUUUUCCUCUAGCAAAUCUUAACCGUCUGCUUGCUUUCACCGGCAUGGUAUAAAAAGGGCAACUCACGGUGAAAACCCUAGCCGCACCUACGCCCGUGCCCAUCCGUUCCUCCUAUUCCUCGCGAGAGGUGGCUGCUGCUGCGCCUCCUCCUUGAUGCACCUCCGCCUCCCACCUCUCUCCUCCCGUCCUUCCCUCUCCCUCAUCUCUCUUUGAUGGCGCUGGGUCGCCUUGGACAGGAGCAUCGCGUCGGCAAGAGUGGGGGCGCCGCCCUUGGUCACGGCCGGGAGCUCGCCUUCGGCCGCCGCUCGCCCUGCAGCCGCGUGUCGUCGCAUCACCGGGAAGGCAGCAGGUUCAGCACCGGCAGAUGAUGCGGGAGAGAGAAGAGGAAGCAUCCCUGGAACCUCUACAUCGAGCAGCAGCCUACUUGGAUCGGUGUCCUCUGCCAAUUUCAGGUGUAUGAAGAAUAUCCAAGCUACUGGUCGUUCUUGAAGUUUACUACGCUGUUGGGGCUGCAACAUCAGCGACUGAGGGCUGCUCGAGAUCUCAUCCAUGGCAUCCGCUCGCAGCCUCACCUUUGCCUCGCUGUGGGGAUUGGGCGGGAUCAUUGACAAGGGCUUUAUUCAUCUGGGCUGGUGGUUGGCGGGAGCAGCGCCAUCCGGCGGUGGCGGCGGAUCAAGCUCCUCCUUUGUGGCGCUCGAAAUUAGGAGCAAGGCCUACCGCACCACGGCGUCGAGCCAGCUGUCGGACGAGCGAGGCGAGCGUGAGGGAGAAGUCGGCGUCGCCUCCCGGAACCGUCGCACUGGCGAGCCUUUUGUGUAUUUUUCACUUUCUGUAUACUGCCGUGAACGACCGCCAACAACAAAGAACUGGGGAAGGUCAUCUCUGGUAACCGUAUGGGCUUGCCAUCCAUCACGUGCUCGAAGUAUGCACGUGUAAGGCAACAGGGUCUUCAAGGUUGGUUCAAGCCAGCUUGAUACAUGUGAGAUAUUUGUAAUAGAUUCAUUGUUAUCUAUAAUAUCUAAAUAGGAGCAACCCACUAAGUUGAAUUCUCU